rnacentral:tRNA from 1 species
CGGAGCGUGGCGCAGUCUGGUAGCGCACUUGACUGGGGGUCAAGGGGUCGGAGGUUCGAAUCCUCUCGCUCCGACCA